ensembl:lncRNA
UCCCAUGAAACCAGUGAUCACCAGCAUUCAGCCACUCCCCACUACUGGACAUGAAGCUGCUUUCCGAGUCUCACAAUGACAAACGGCACAGCAAGGGUGGACAGACAACCCCAAUAUGUGCGGUGUGCUCUGGGUUUGCCGCCCUGCCGUGGGUGUGCAGGGUGGACGCAGAGGCCGAGGGCGGUUAAAGGGGCAUGGGAAGAAGCCAGCCCCCUUCAGGGAGGGAUGGGGAAGCUCAGCGAGCUUCCCUGGGCUCUGUCCUCAGCAUCCCUGAGCUCUCAGCACUGAUGCAGGAAUCUAGCCUGAAUCCUGUUCUGGGUUUGCCAGGCCUGUACCUUUCCCCUAAACCCACCGGCUCUUGUCCCUUUCCUGGGCCUGACCUGGAUAUCCAGGAGGGAAAGAUCUCGUGUAUUGGUGUCAGAGUUCCUGGCCGUGACUCCAGAACCCUGGCAAGUGGCACAGACUUUCGGAGCCUCAGUUUUCUCAUCUGUAAACUGGGUACAGCAUCACCUACAUGGCAGGGCUCCUGUGAGGACUCAAUGGGAUGCCAGGCCCAGCUCAUAUUGGGGUUCAGAAGAACGUGAUGGCCGCUGCCAUGCGGCCAACAGAGUGAGGCAGGAGGGUCCUGCCUGGGGGACCCCAGGGCACACAGGGCCAGCCCCACUCCCGGAGAGACCUCAGGGAAUAGAAAUCCUUGAAUGGGAUGCUAUGGCUAUGUCCGGGGACCCUGCCUGCCUAGGGGCUGUGCUCCCAGCAGUGCGUGGGACACCCACAGAGUGUGCUGGGUCUGAGGCCCCUCUGCAGAGAGGGCUGUGAGCCCAUCAGAGAGGAAGAAGGAAGGAGGAAUUUGUGCUGGCCUAAGUCUGAGGCCUAAGGAGGCAGGCCUGUCACUGUGGUGGCCAGGUUCCACUUCUGACCCUGGACCAGGCAGCUCAGCCCCGAGGUAUGUGGGCUCACCGUGGCCAGCCCUGAGUUUAUGAGCAGCAGAACUUUCUCCAAACAUCCAUUUUCUCUCAUCCUUGCAGCUGUUUCUUCUUAAACACACACACACACCCAAACCAAAACACAACAGUGGAGUCGGAUUUGGACACUUCCAGUCCGCCACUCAUCCCCAGCGACCCCUUGGCAGGUCGCAGCAGGACCCACGGACAGCACCGACAGCUGCUCUGGGGCAGGUCAGCUCGCAAGCGCCCAGCCCUCCCUGGCUGGAAUUCUCUGUGUGGGUCCAGCCAGGCCUUCCAGAACCCCUGAGACUGCUCCAGGAAAGUGGGACAGCAGGCCUCCUGCUCAGAGCCUCUGCACAAGCGGUUCCCUCCACUCCAGAAUUAUUCCUGUCACUGUCCUCCCAGCUUCUCCUCAUCCAGGAGCUGUUCCCAGACCAACCCGCACUGGUGCCUUCAACUCCCCCACGCCCUGCCCCCGACCCAUAUCUGCCGCCCCAGGAGCCUGCCUCUGUACCAGGGACCAGCUCUCAAUGGGUAUGAGGGGUGGGCCAUGGCUCUGCGGUUCUCCUCCGGGUCUUCAGAACCACAUAUGUGACAAGCGUCCAAUGAAUACUUGUUGGACAAAGGCCACCGUGGAUUGGGUGCCUGUUGUUCCUGGGGUACAACAGCGAAUCAGCAGACCUCUGCCAUCUGCAGAGCCCAGUUCGCAGGGCAGUCAGACAUCCUCAGGGUCUCUGAACGUGACAGCGACCACUGGCUCACCUCCUCCAGGGGGCCCUCCUGAGCCCGCCAGGCCAGCAGCUCCUGCUCCACGCUUCCCUCC